CUGUCGCAUUUAGGGACAUCAUAGUCCCCCCAAAGCAUAACAUCUGAAUUUCAUACCACAAUUGCAUUGAAAGCGACCAAAAGCUCGAGUAUACCAUAGCAGUUUUACAUAAUUCAUAUUGCAAUUCUAUUUACAAUCAGCUAGAUGCCAGCCAAUAAGGGUCGCAAAUGAGUAUAAAUUUGUAGGCAAUUAUAAUAUAUACCAUCUGAAUAGAUACUAAUUUUUUCAUCGGUCUUAUACAUACCUAGUAGAGAAGUUUUCUUUCAGAUGAUUCUUGUUUUGCUUCUACUUCCUUGUCAAACAGCACACGUACAUUGUUACAAAAAGGCCAGAAAUGAGUCAAGCAUACAAACCCAAUCGUACACUACAAGUUGAGAAUUUAAAUUUUAAUUGCAUUUCGGAUCAUUUUGCAAAUUAGGGUCGCAUCUGAAUUCAAAAUCAUAGGCAACUAGUGUCGAACAUAUUAUCCAACAUCAUAUUACGAAUUAAACAUUCAUCUUGCAAGCAAUGUUCAUCCUCACAAAUCAAAACAACCACCAGGGUUUCUAUAGCCACUUAAAUUUAGAUUCAUGAAGAUUAAAUGUCCUUGAAUGAGAUCAUGAAAGCAUAUCAUCCAUUUUCAUAUUAUGAAUAAAGAAUUCAUACAACAGUGUAUAACUUCGAUCCAACCAUCCAUCGAUUGUGAAUAAAGAAUUCAUGUUACAGUAUCAUUUAGGAGCAUCAGCCAAUUAGGGUCUAACUCAUCCAUAUUCCAGAUUGUAGGCAACAAGGGUCAAACAUACGAAUCCCUUUUCUUAUAUAUACCCACUAUAAAGGGUUGGAAAGGGCACUCAAAAAAUAAAUCAAAUUAUUUAUCAAUCUUUCUUGAUUAUACUAUAUGUGUUUCUUCAUCCUUUGCAAAGAUCAAAGAAGCAGCAACAUGGUCAACAAAACAAAAGAACUUAAAACAUAACAUUGGUAAAACUACAAUUCAUCUGUAAAGAGAAAAAGGAAAACCCAUCACUGUGCAUAUUGGGAAAUAUCAUGUGUAAGAUGAAUAGAAGUUCCACUGAAAACAUAACAGAGGUAAAAUUACAAUUCAUCUUUCCACUCACCAUCAAAUCCUUGUUUCACUUGUUCCUGUAACAUAACCACAUAAACUUUUCAAUUAUUCAUCAAUUCUAUAGCAGAUUUGAAAAUCAGGAAAUGCAAGUAACAGAACUAUUCAAAUUAAAAGAAGACAAACCUCCGUAGUUUUGAGUAAAGCCAGAAGUGCAGUGCACAACUGCAAUAACAGCCUUUCCAACCAUAUCUACCAUAUUUUCCCAUAAUUAUAGUAAAAUACAUCGCAUAUUUCUUACAUAUUUGUAAAUACAUUGCAUCUGCCAGCCAAUUAUAAGGGUCUCAAAUUAAUUUAAAUUUGUAGGCAAUUAAGGUCAAAUGAACAGAUACUAAUUUUUUCAUAGGUCUUAUACAUAC
rnacentral:lncRNA from 1 species